rnacentral:rRNA from 1 species
AUUGAACGCUGGCGGCAGGCUUAACACAUGCAAGUCGAGCGGAGAUGAGGUGCUUGCACCUUAUCUUAGCGGCGGACGGGUGAGUAAUGCUUAGGAAUCUGCCUAUUAGUGGGGGACAACAUUCCGAAAGGAAUGCUAAUACCGCAUACGUCCUACGGGAGAAAGCAGGGGAUCUUCGGACCUUGCGCUAAUAGAUGAGCCUAAGUCGGAUUAGCUAGGUGGUGGGGUAAAGGCCUACCAAGACGACGAUCUGUAGCGGGUCUGAGAGGAUGAUCCGCCACACUGGGACUGAGACACGGCCCAGACUCCUACGGGAGGCAGCAGUGGGGAAUAUUGGACAAUGGGGGGAACCCUGAUCCAGCCAUGCCGCGUGUGUGAAGAAGGCCUUAUGGUUGUAAAGCACUUUAAGCGAGGAGGAGGCUACUGAGACUAAUACUCUUGGAUAGUGGACGUUACUCGCAGAAUAAGCACCGGCUAACUCUGUGCCAGCCGCCGCCGUAAUAC